AUUCAGGCUGGUCCUGCAGAGAGGAAGCCCUUCUGCUUCCAGGUAUUGGAAGGGCUUCCUCUCUGCAGGACCAGCCUGAAU
ensembl:miRNA